CAAUCAGGGAUCGAACCGUGCCCCCUGCAGUGGAAGCACAGAUUCUUAACCACUAGACCACCAGGGAAGUCCUCAAAGGUGGGGAACUGAGGCCUGGAGGAGGAACACCUCUCACCUCUCACUUAUGCAAGGUGAGAGGGCAGAAGACAGCCUUCAUGCAGCCCUCGUGGCACUACAAUUCCACUCCAUCCAUAUCUCUCCAUCCAUGUGCUGACCUUCCUGUGAGAAAUACUCCUCCUCCAGGAAGCCCCCCUGACUCUACAGCAGAACCCACAGUUUGUAUGUUGUCAUGCUCGCCCACAGAGGCAGAUGGACCCCAUCCGAGAUUUGGUUCAACGUCAUGACUGAUGAUGCCACAUGCGCACCAAGGGGGAAUGGAAAGGUUUAUUAUUUACAUAAUUGAGGUCUCUGGAGGAGCAGGGCCGGCUUCUCAAACAGGUCCAAAAUGGCUUGAGAGGGUGAGGAAAGGAGAUUGGUCUGGGUUUUUACUGUGGUGAGGGAGUGAGGUCAGGUGAGCAUUUGUGAGGGAAGCGGCUCGCGUGGUUCGAAUCUUCCAUGGACGCCAAAGGAGGCAGCACAGCACCCAGGCUUUCUUAUGAGCUUGUCCAGGUGUGAGGCACAAGGGGAAGAGGGAAAGGGAACAGCUUAAAGGGUGUCAGUAGUCAAAUAUCAAAAAAUGGGCUCAUUGAGCCCGCGUGUCGCAACUACUGAAGCCUGCGUGCCUAGAGCCCAUGCUCUGCAACAAAAGAAGCCACUGCAAUAAGUCCAUGUACUGCAACAGAGUAAGCCCCGCUCACCACAACUAGAGAAAGCCCGCACUCUGCAAUGAA